rnacentral:rRNA from 1 species
AACAAACGCUGGCGGCGUGCCUAAUACAUGCAAGUCGAACGGGGAAAGCUUUCGGGUGAGUACUAGUGGCGCACGGGUGAGUAACGCGUGGAUAAUCUGCCUUAGAGAGGGGGAUAACUAGACGAAAGAUUUGCUAAUACCGCAUAAGACCACAAGAACUGCGGUUCAAGGGGUCAAAGGUUUUUCGCUCUAAGAUGAGUCCGCGUAAGAUUAGCUAGUUGGUAGGGUAACGGCCUACCAAGGCGACGAUCUUUAACUGGUCUGAGAGGAUGAUCAGUCACACUGGAACUGAGACACGGUCCAGACUCCUACGGGAGGCAGCAGUAGGGAAUAUUGCACAAUGGAGGAAACUCUGAUGCAGCGACGCCGCGUGAGUGAUGAAGGCCUUCGGGUCGUAAAGCUCUGUCGCAGGGGAAUAACACAAUGAAGGUACCCUGUAAGAAAGGAUCGGCUAACUUCGUGCCAGCCGCCGCCGUAAUAC